GAAAUAUUCCCACCCCCAAAACGGCGCCAUUCACAUAGGGAUUAAAAUGAAACAAAAAUAAAAUUCUAGGGAGAAAUUAAAAACAAAGAAAAGCUGGAUUAAAACACCAUAGAAAUGCGGAAGGACCGCGCACGAAAUUAUCCCUUUCACAACAAAACACAUGGAUCCUCAGGCAUCGGGUCGGGUUGAAAACGGGUUGGCCAAAACGGUGCCGUUUUGGUACCUAGACCCCCACCCAAAACGACGUCGUUUAUGGGGUUAUACUUAAGCCCCAAAUUUUUUUUUAAAAAAAAGAAGAAAAAAUCCUUCAUUUUCUUUCUUUUUCAGGAGCAGACAGCGGCCCCCCUCCAUUUCUCUGCUAGGGUUUCGAAACCCUAGCUUUUGCUCCACCAUCGCCUGUCCACCGCUCCUCCGCCAUGGACGGUGGUCGGAGUUUGGCAAAUCAGGCCUUUAGCUCUUGUUUUAGCCCCGUAAGAUCCAUGCCCGAAGAUCUAGCGCUUGCAACUGCAAACAAAAAUCAGUGAAGGACUCCCGAUCACUGUUGGGUUUGAUUUCGGCGAAGGAGACGAAACUCUGACGACCUAAAACAGUUCAAGUGAGCCCUUUUUUCUCUUUUAUUUUUUUUAUAACAAAUGCUAAAUAAAAUAAGGAAUAGAAAUGAAAAAAAAAUAAAAACCCCGCCCCAAUCGAGAUAAAAAAAAAAAAAGAGAAGGAAAAUCACCUUCUGAAAAAAUUUCUUUUCACACUUUUCGCUUGCUUUUUGUUAAUUUUUUGUGUGUUUUUAUUGAAAUCAUCUGUAAAAAAUUACAUUGUGCCUUCGAGGCUCUCUUAUAGCCGAUUCAAAGGCUUUUGUCUAUAUUUUGCUACUGUUGCCGUUGUCUCUGCUUUUGUUUGCUUGUUGCUUUGGUUUUGCAGGUGCUGUUAAGGGAGGCCGGUGGCAGCGUUGCAGGAGCAGUGGUACGGCGCACAUGGGUAGCGGCGCACACUACUGUUAGGGUUUCUUAGAUGCUGAAACUAGUUUAGGUUUGGGCCAUUUUGGGCUUGUUUUAGUUUGGAUUUGGCUGAUUGGGCUAUUAAGGUUGGGUUUAGUAUGGUUUAUUAGGCCCGGUCAAAUUUGGGCAUUUACAUUAAGUUAAAUUAGACAGUUAGUCUUUAUAUUUUUAAUUAAGUCUUUCUCUUUUAUUUAUUUUUUUUAUUUUCCUUUUCUUCUUCUUCUUCUUCCUUCCUUUUUCUUUGGUCAUGUCGACUAAUUCCAGUUGGCCUAAAUCUGAAGUUGAAUAUCUUUGUCUAAAAAUAAAUCCCCUCAAUAAAGCCUCUUGUUAAACAUAAAAAUUUUAAAAUUUCCCUUAAGUGAAUCUAAUGGGUUUAUUUAUUAUUAAAGUCAUUUUUAUAUGGAUUAGAAUUUGAUACAUUGGGAGUAUUUUUUUUUAAUUCACAAGCUGUUUUAAAAAUAUAUCUCUCUUUUAUAAAUAUAUUUUUUUUAAUAUUUUACUAUACCCUUAUAGGAUAUUUGUCAAUCUCUUAUCUUGUUUGUGGAGUCUAAAAACAUCAUUAACAGUGUAUUAAAAUAUUUUCC
rnacentral:lncRNA from 1 species